GGGUUGUGAGGUUAAGCGACUAAGCGUACACGGUGGAUGCCCUGGCAGUCAGAGGCGAUGAAGGGCGUGCUAAUCUGCGAUAAGCGCCGGUAAGGUGAUAUGAACCGUUAUAACCGGCGAUACCCGAAUGGGGAAACCCAGUGUGACUCGUCACACUAUCAUUAACUGAAUCCAUAGGUUAAUGAGGCGAACCGGGGGAACUGAAACAUCUAAGUACCCCGAGGAAAAGAAAUCAACCGAGAUUCCCCCAGUAGCGGCGAGCGAACGGGGAGGAGCCCAGAGCCUGAAUCAGCAUAUGUGUUAGUGGAAGCGUCUGGAAAGGCGCGCGAUACAGGGUGACAGCCCCGUACACAAAAGCGCAUGUGCUGUGAGCUCGAUGAGUAGGGCGGGACACGUGGUAUCCUGUCUGAAUAUGGGGGGACCAUCCUCCAAGGCUAAAUACUCCUGACUGACCGAUAGUGAACCAGUACCGUGAGGGAAAGGCGAAAAGAACCCCGGCGAGGGGAGUGAAAAAGAACCUGAAACCGUGUACGUACAAGCAGUGGGAGCACCCUUUGGGGUGUGACUGCGUACCUUUUGUAUAAUGGGUCAGCGACUUAUAUUCUGUAGCAAGGUUAACCGAAUAGGGGAGCCGGAGGGAAACCGAGUCUUAAUUGGGCGUUAAGUUGCAGGGUAUAGACCCGAAACCCGGUGAUCUAGCCAUGGGCAGGUUGAAGGUUGGGUAACACUAACUGGAGGACCGAACCGACUAAUGUUGAAAAAUUAGCGGAUGACCUGUGGCUGGGGGUGAAAGGCCAAUCAAACCGGGAGAUAGCUGGUUCUCCCCGAAAGCUAUUUAGGUAGCGCCUCGUGAAUUCAUCUCCGGGGGUAGAGCACUGUUUCGGCUAGGGGGCCAUCCCGGCUUACCAACCCGAUGCAAACUGCGAAUACCGGAGAAUGUUAUCACGGGAGACACACGGCGGGUGCUAACGUCCGUCGUGAAGAGGGAAACAACCCAGACCGCCAGCUAAGGUCCCAAAGUCAUGGUUAAGUGGGAAACGAUGUGGGAAGGCCCAGACAGCCAGGAUGUUGGCUUAGAAGCAGCCAUCAUUUAAAGAAAGCGUAAUAGCUCACUGGUCGAGUCGGCCUGCGCGGAAGAUGUAACGGGGCUAAACCAUGCACCGAAGCUGCGGCAGCGACGCUGAUGCGUUGUUGGGUAGGGGAGCGUUCUGUAAGCCUGCGAAGGUGGCCUGUGAGGGUUGCUGGAGGUAUCAGAAGUGCGAAUGCUGACAUAAGUAACGAUAAAGCGGGUGAAAAGCCCGCUCGCCGGAAGACCAAGGGUUCCUGUCCAACGUUAAUCGGGGCAGGGUGAGUCGACCCCUAAGGCGAGGCCGAAAGGCGUAGUCGAUGGGAAACGGGUUAAUAUUCCCGUACUUGGUGUUACUGCGAAGGGGGGACGGAGAAGGCUAUGUUGGCCGGGCGACGGUUGUCCCGGUUUAAGCGUGUAGGUGUGUGUUCCAGGUAAAUCCGGUUCACUUUAACACUGAGGCGUGAUGACGAGGCACUACGGUGCUGAAGCAACAAAUGCCCUGCUUCCAGGAAAAGCCUCUAAGCAUCAGGUAACAUCAAAUCGUACCCCAAACCGACACAGGUGGUCAGGUAGAGAAUACCAAGGCGCUUGAGAGAACUCGGGUGAAGGAACUAGGCAAAAUGGUGCCGUAACUUCGGGAGAAGGCACGCUGACACGUAGGUGAAGUGAUUUACUCAUGGAGCUGAAGUCAGUCGAAGAUACCAGCUGGCUGCAACUGUUUAUUAAAAACACAGCACUGUGCAAACACGAAAGUGGACGUAUACGGUGUGACGCCUGCCCGGUGCCGGAAGGUUAAUUGAUGGGGUCAGCGCAAGCGAAGCUCCUGAUCGAAGCCCCGGUAAACGGCGGCCGUAACUAUAACGGUCCUAAGGUAGCGAAAUUCCUUGUCGGGUAAGUUCCGACCUGCACGAAUGGCGUAAUGAUGGCCAGGCUGUCUCCACCCGAGACUCAGUGAAAUUGAACUCGCUGUGAAGAUGCAGUGUACCCGCGGCAAGACGGAAAGACCCCGUGAACCUUUACUAUAGCUUGACACUGAACAUUGAGCCUUGAUGUGUAGGAUAGGUGGGAGGCUUUGAAGUGUGGACGCCAGUCUGCAUGGAGCCGGCCUUGAAAUACCACCCUUUAAUGUUUGAUGUUCUAACGUGGACCCGUGAUCCGGGUUGCGGACAGUGUCUGGUGGGUAGUUUGACUGGGGCGGUCUCCUCCUAAAGAGUAACGGAGGAGCACGAAGGUUGGCUAAUCCUGGUCGGACAUCAGGAGGUUAGUGCAAUGGCAUAAGCCAGCUUGACUGCGAGCGUGACGGCGCGAGCAGGUGCGAAAGCAGGUCAUAGUGAUCCGGUGGUUCUGAAUGGAAGGGCCAUCGCUCAACGGAUAAAAGGUACUCCGGGGAUGGAGAACUGAGGGGGGCUGCUCCUAGUACGAGAGGACCGGAGUGGACGCAUCACUGGUGUUCGGGUUGUCAUGCCAAUGGCACUGCCCGGUAGCUAAAUGCGGAAGAGAUAAGUGCUGAAAGCAUCUAAGCACGAAACUUGCCCCGAGAUGAGUUCUCCCUGAGACUUAGAGUCUCCUGAAGGAACGUUGAAGACGACGACGUUGAUAGGCCGGGUGUGUAAGCGCAGCGAUGCGUUGAGCUAACCGGUACUAAUGAACCGUGAGGCUUAACCUUACAACGCCGAAG
rnacentral:rRNA from 1 species